rnacentral:rRNA from 1 species
AGGACGAACGCUGGCGGCGUGCUUAACACAUGCAAGUCGAACGGUGACGGAGAGCUUGCUCUCCUGAUCAGUGGCGAACGGGUGAGUAACACGUGGGCAACCUGCCCCUGACUUCGGGAUAACGCUUCGAAAGAGGUGCUAAUACCGGAUACGAGCCCCGUAGGCAUCUACGGGGUUGGAAAGUUUUUCGGUCAGGGAUGGGCCCGCGGCCUAUCAGCUUGUUGGUGAGGUAAUGGCUCACCAAGGCGACGACGGGUAGCCGGCCUGAGAGGGCGACCGGCCACACUGGGACUGAGACACGGCCCAGACUCCUACGGGAGGCAGCAGUGGGGAAUAUUGCGCAAUGGGCGAAAGCCUGACGCAGCAACGCCGCGUGAGGGAUGACGGCCUUCGGGUUGUAAACCUCUUUCAGCAGGGACGAAGCGAGAGUGACGGUACCUGCAGAAGAAGCGCCGGCUAACUACGCGCCAGCAGCCGCGGU